rnacentral:misc_RNA from 1 species
UUUCCGUAGGUGAACCUGCGGAAGGAUCAUUAUUGAAUGAAACACUUCUGGCUUUUUGCUGUUGUGCUGGCCCUUUGUGCAAUGUGCACACGGCUCUGGUCACUUGUUUCUUCUGUUCCACCUGUGCACUGCCUCUAGACACGCUGUGUCUAUGAUAUUUGUUAACACACAACAAUGUUAGUUGGCAUGUUAUAUAUAAUAAUAAAAAAUACAACUUUCAACAACGGAUCUCUUGGCUCUC